rnacentral:rRNA from 2 species
UGCAGUCGACGACUCUGGUAUUGAUUGGUGCUUGCAUCAUGAUUUACAUUUGAGUGAGUGGCGAACUGGUGAGUAACACGUGGGAAACCUGCCCAGAAGCGGGGGAUAACACCUGGAAACAGAUGCUAAUACCGCAUAACAACUUGGACCGCAUGGUCCGAGUUUGAAAGAUGGCUUCGGCUAUCACUUUUGGAUGGUCCCGCGGCGUAUUAGCUAGAUGGUGGGGUAACGGCUCACCAUGGCAAUGAUACGUAGCCGACCUGAGAGGGUAAUCGGCCACAUUGGGACUGAGACACGGCCCAAACUCCUACGGGAGGCAGCAGUAGGGAAUCUUCCACAAUGGACGAAAGUCUGAUGGAGCAACGCCGCGUGAGUGAAGAAGGGUUUCGGCUCGUAAAACUCUGUUGUUAAAGAAGAACAUAUCUGAGAGUAACUGUUCAGGUAUUGACGGUAUUUAACCAGAAAGCCACGGCUAACUACGUGCCAGCAGCCGCGGUAAUACGUAGGUGGCAAGCGUUGUCCGGAUUUAUUGGGCGUAAAGCGAGCGCAGGCGGUUUUUUAAGUCUGAUGUGAAAGCCUUCGGCUCAACCGAAGAAGUGCAUCGGAAACUGGGAAACUUGAGUGCAGAAGAGGACAGUGGAACUCCAUGUGUAGCGGUGAAAUGCGUAGAUAUAUGGAAGAACACCAGUGGCGAAAGCGGCUGUCUGGUCUGUAACUGACGCUGAGGCUCGAAAGUAUGGGUAGCAACAGGAUUAGAUACCCUGGUAGUCCAUACCGUAACGAUGAUGCUAGUGUUGGAGGGUUUCCGUCCUUCAGUGCUGCAGCUAACGCAUUAAGCAUUCCGCC